rnacentral:rRNA from 1 species
UACAGAGGUCUCAAGCGUUGUUCGGAUUCAUUGGGCGUAAAGGGUGCGUAGGUGGCGCCGUAAGUCGGGUGUGAAUUUCGGAGCUUAACUCCGAAACUGCAUUCGAUACUGCGGUGCUUGAGGACUGGAGAGGAGACUGGAAUUCAUGGUGUAGCAGUGAAAUGCGUAGAGAUCAUGAGGAAGACCAGUGGCGAAGGCGGGUCUCUGGACAGUUCCUGACACUGAGGCACGAAGGCCAGGGGAGCAAACGGG